rnacentral:rRNA from 1 species
AGCCGCGGUAAUUCCAGCUCCAAUAGCGUAUAUUAAAGUUGUUGCAGUUAAAAAGCUCGUAGUUGAAUUUCGAGACCGGUCUACUGGUCGUGCUUUUGUACGUACUGGUUUUAUUGGUUUCUCCUUUCUGACGAACUAUAAUGCCAUUAAUUUGGUGUUAUAGGGAAUCAGGACUGUUACUUUGAAAAAUUAGAGUGUUUAAAGCAGGCUCACGCUUGAAUACAUUAGCAUGGAAUAACGGAAUAGGACGUUUGAUUUUAUUUUAGUUGGUUUCUAGGGAUCGACGUAAUGAUUAAUAGGGAUAGUUGGGGGGCAUUAGUAUUCAAUUGUCAGAGGUGAAAUUCUUGGAUUUAUUGAAGGCUAACUACUGCGAAAGCAUUUGCCAAGGAUGUUUUCAUUAAUCAAGAACGAAAGUUAGGGGAUCGAAGACGAUCAGAUACCGUCGUAGUCUUAACCAUAAACUAUGCCGACUAGGGAUCGGAUGAUGUUAAUUUUUUAAUGACUCAUUCGGCGCCUUACG